rnacentral:lncRNA from 1 species
AUGCUCAAAAUUCUCCAAGCUAGGCUUCAACAAUACAUGAACCAUGAACUUUCUGAUGUUCAAGCUGGUUUUCGAAAAGGCAGAGAAACCAGAGAUCAAAUUGCCAACAUCCGCUGGAUUAUGGAAAAAGCAAGAGAGUUCCAGAAAAACAUCUAUUUCUGCUUUAUUGACUAUGCCAAAGCCUUUGACUGUGUGGAUCACAAUAAACUGUGGAAAAUUCUGAAAGAGAUGGGAAUACCAGACCACCUGACUUGCCUCUUGAGAAAUCUGUAUGCAGGUCAGGAAACAACAGUUAGAACUGGACAGGGAACAACGGACUGGUUCCAAAUAGGAAAAGGAGUAUUUCAAGGGUGUAUAUUGUCACCCUGCUUAUGUAAAUUACAUGCAGAGUACAUCAUGAGAAAAUCUGGACUGGAAGAAGCACAAGCUGGAAUCCAGAUUGCCGGGAGAAGUAUCAAUAACCUCAGAUAUGCAGAUGACACCACCCUUAUGGCAGAAAGUGAAGAGGAACUAAAAAGCCUCUUGAUGAAAGUGAAAGUGGAGAGUGAUAAAGUUGGCUUAAAGCUCAACAUUCAGAAAACGAAGAUCAUGGCAUCUGGUCCCAUCACUUCAUGGGAAAUAGAUGGGGAAACAGUGUCAGACUUUAUUUUUGGGGGCUUCAAAAUCACUGCAAAUGGUGACUGCAGCCAUGAAAUUAAAAGACGCUUACUCCUUGGAAGAAAAGUUAUGACCAACCUAGAUAGCAUAUUCAAAAGCAGAGACAUUACUUUGCUGACUAAGGUCUGUCUAGUCAAGGCUAUGGUUUUUCCUGUGGUCAUGUAUGGAUGUGAGAGUUGGACUGUGAAGAAGGCUGAGCGCCGAAGAAUUGAUGCUUUUGAACUGUGGUGUUGGAGAAGACUCUUGAGAGUCCCUUGGACUGCAAGGAGAUCCAACCUGUCCAUUUUGAUGGACAUUGGCCCUGGGAUUUCUUUGGAAGGAAUGAUGCUAAAGCUGAAACUCCAGUACUUUGGCCACCUCAUGAGAAGAGUUGACUCAUUGGAAAAGACUGUGAUGCUGGGAGGGAUUGUGGGCAGGAGGAGAAGGGGACGACAGAGGAUGAAAUGGCUGGAUGGCGUCACUGACUUGAUGGAUGUGAGUCUGAGUGAACUCCAGGAGUUGGAGAUGGACAGGGAGUCCUGGUGUACUGCGAUUCAUGUGGUUGCAAAGAGUCGGACACGACUGAGUGACUGA